rnacentral:tRNA from 1 species
GGAGAGGUCACAUAGAGGCCUAGUGUACGCGCUUGGAAAGCGCGCAUAGCAGCAAUGCUAUCGAGGGUUCGAAUCCCUCCCUCUCCG